GACGAACGCUGGCGGCGUGCUUAACACAUGCAAGUCGAACGGAAAGGCCCUGCUUUUGUGGGGUGCUCGAGUGGCGAACGGGUGAGUAACACGUGAGUAACCUGCCCUUGACUUUGGGAUAACUUCAUUAAACUGGGGCUAAUACCGGAUAGGAGCUCCUUCUGCAUGGUGGUGGUUGUAAAGUUUCGGCGGUUGGGGAUGGACUCGCGGCUUAUCAGCGUGUUGGUGGGGUAGUGGAUUACCAAGGCUUUGACGGGUAGCCGGACUGAGAGGGUGACAGGCCACAUAGGGACUGAGAUACCGCCAAGAGUCCUACGGGAGGAAGCAGUGGGGAAUAUUGCACGAUGGGCGGAAGCCUGAUGCAGCAACGCCGCGUGGGGGAUGACGGCCUUCGGAUUGUAAACCGCUUUCGCCUGUGACGAAGCGUGAGUGACGGUAAUGGGUAAAGAAGCACCGGCUAACUACGUG
rnacentral:rRNA from 1 species